CAGUAGCCGCGGUAAUACAGAGGGUGCGAGCGUUAAUCGGAUUUACUGGGCGUAAAGCGUGCGUAGGCGGUUAUAUAAGACAGAUGUGAAAUCCCCGGGCUCAACCUGGGAACUGCAUUUGUGACUGUAUAGCUAGAGUACGGCAGAGGGGGAUGGAAUUCCGCGUGUAGCAGUGAAAUGCGUAGAUAUGCGGAGGAACACCGAUGGCGAAGGCAAUCCCCUGGGCCUGUACUGACGCUCAUGCACGAAAGCGUGGGGAGCAAACAGGAUUAGAUACCCCCGUAGUCCCUGUCUCUUAUAC
rnacentral:rRNA from 1 species